rnacentral:rRNA from 1 species
GACGAACGCUGGCGGCGUGCCUAAUACAUGCAAGUUGAACGCUAAAGCUUUAACUGGUGCUUGCACCGACCUAAGUUUUUAGAGUAGCGGACGGGUGAGUAACACGUGGGUAACCUGCCCAUCAGAGGGGGAUAACACUUGGAAACAGGUGCUAAUACCGCAUAAUUCCUUUUACCGCAUGGUAAAAGGCUGAAAGGCGCUUCUGCUGUCACUUAUAGAUGGGCCCGCGGCGCAUUAGCUAGUUGGUGAGGUAACGGCUCACCAAGGCAACGAUGCGUAGCCGACCUGAGAGGGUGAUCGGCCACACUGGGACUGAGACACGGCCCAGACUCCUACGGGAGGCAGCAGUAGGGAAUCUUCGGCAAUGGACGAAAGUCUGACCGAGCAACGCCGCGUGAGUGAAGAAGGUUUUCGGAUCGUAAAACUCUGUUGUUAGAGAAGAACAGGAGAAGUAGUAACUGGCUUCUUUUUGACGGUAUCUAACCAGAAAGCCACGGCUAACUACGUGCCAGCCGCCGCAGUAAAAC